GGGCGUUCCCUUCGGGGUACNGAAUGACAGGNUGGUGCAUGGUUGUCGUCAGCUCGUGUCGUGAGAUGUUGGGUUAAGUCCCGCAACGAGCGCAACCCUUAUUAUUAGUUGCCAGCAUUUAGUUGGGCACUCUAGUGAGACUGCCGGUGAUAAACCGGAGGAAGGUGGGGACGACGUCAAAUCAUCAUGCCCCUUAUGAGCUGGGCUACACACGUGCUACAAUGGAUGGUACAACGAGUCGCGAAACCGCGAGGUCAAGCUAAUCUCUUAAAGCCAUUCUCAGUUCGGAUUGCAGGCUGCAACUCGCCUGCAUGAAGUUGGAAUCACUAGUAAUCGUGGAUCAGCAUGCCACGGUGAAUACGUUCCCGGGCCUUGUACNGNNCCGA
rnacentral:rRNA from 1 species